rnacentral:misc_RNA from 1 species
CUGAGGGUAAGCCGUCCUUCGCCUCGAUUUCCCCAAUGGGUUCUCCGGAUUUCUGGAGACUUGUAGGGGUUGUGGGAUUUUUGAUGUGUCGUCUCCGGACGGGCGGUGCAGGGUAGUCGAGUUAGACUUGGUGGAAUUCCGUCGAUAGGAGUUCCGUCGAGUCUGGUCGGCUGUGUGUUGGACGGUGCAGGGUAGGCUGCUUGGACAUGGUCGGUUCGAGGAUCGAUUCGAGGGCCGGCCUGUCGAUGAUGUGUGAUGUAUGCGGUCUAGGGUAGGCUGGUUUGUCUUGGUCCAAUUUGAUGUCGGCUCCCGUGCAGGCCAGAGUGAGGGGGGUCCAUGGUAGGUACAGGGUAGGCAGCUUAGAUUUGGUCGAUCUGGAGGUCGAUUCUCCGGCUGGCGGAUCUGACACUGUCGAAACGAGGUGCGAGCGGUGUAGGGUAGGCUAGUUUCGUCCUCGCCAGGUUGCGAUUUGGACGAGAUAUGUGGUCUAGGGUAUGCUCUAGGGUAAGUAGAAUUCGUGUUUCGUCGCCGACAGUUUUCUGUGGGUGUGUGGUAGGUACAGGGUAGGCAAAUCUCUCUCCGGCCAGUACUUGUCUGGUGGUCGUGAGUCGAUUUUUUUGUUUUGCCAUACUAUUGAAUUUUGCGGAAAUUCAAAAGUGGCUCGGGAGUCCCGCCUGGCGUGCGUCCGACUCGAACGUCGUCGGUGUACAUAUGAGAGGGAGUAAUCCGGCCCGGCCGGGGCCCAUCGCGAGCUGCCGGGUAGGUAAAAGUAAAAAAGUUGUUAAGAGGCGCGGUGUCGGCGUGCUUGUAUUUGCGGGAGAGAAUUAUCUGGAGGUGCUGGGUAGCCGGGAAGACUUGGACGGAUCUGGCCCGGGAAUGGGUCUGGGCCUGGAUUCUGGUGUGGUGUAGGGUAGGCGUAGAUAGAUGAGUGGUCUAGGGUAGAUACAGGGUAGCCAGACGUCUGGUAUAUAGUAUGGGGGUGUAGGGUAGGUCUGGACACCGUUUUCCACUUCGCCCUUCCCUUUAGUCGAGGGAGGACGAUCUUGGCUGGGACGGAGGUGUAGGGUAGGCUUAAUUAACGAUUACAUGAUCUGUGUCACUCUAGGGUAGGUGAAAAUCCCAUAUAUAUCUGAUCAGAUUUGGCGAAGAGGUGGUUUGGCUGGUGAGAUGGACAAAAAGUGCAAUGUAGAAUUAUAUGUGAUUUUGCAAAAGUGGGUGUGAAAUUGGGAAAUCGGUUUUCCCGCACAGAUAAGAGCACGUUUGAGGUGCCAUGAGAUGCACCUCUCCGAGACGACCUCGACGGUACCACCGAUGUGUUGGUCAGGCUCCUGUGCGGCCGUCCAGGGCGGGAUAAGUAGAGAAUGAGGUGGUGUAGGGUAGGUGGCCAGGUCCAGGGUAGGUUCGCCAAAUCCGUCAAUCCGGCUUGAAUGGAAGGACAGGUCUAGGGUAGGCCAGAGUCGGGUCUAGGGUAGGCAACUCUCACCCUCGAAGUGGUCUACCCGGUAGCCAACUUCAAUCGCCUCUCACGGCCGCCACGGAUCUCGUAUGACGACGGGACUACCACCAUCGGAUUCGCCUUGGUCGAAAUAGCUGGUAUAUGCACUUUUGAAAAAAUGCGUGCAAAAUGGUUUUGUGGUUUGGUGGUCGUGAGUCGAUUUUUUUGUUUUCCCAUACAAAUGAAUUUUGCGGAAAAUAAAAAGUGGCCCACGAGGCAGUCCUGGCGUGCGGCCCACUAAAACGGUCUCGGAGGGUAUAUGAGAAGGGAGCAAAUCCGGCCGAGCCUGAAAGGGUGAGGACAAACCGGGCGAGCAACCUCUCAGUAUCAGAUCUUGCAGACUUCCACUGCGUGUCCCUCUGUACAGCUUUGCAGGCUCCGGCCUCGGCAGCGGGGGGUUCAUAGUGGUCGUCGACCUCCACGAAACUGCACGCUCCGGCGUGACAGCGUACUGGGGAUGCCUGUGUAGAUGCAGUCCGGGCUUGCCUGGACCG